rnacentral:lncRNA from 1 species
GUGAGAGGAUGUCACUUUUGAGACUAGGUUAUAAAAAUACUGUGGCUUCUGUCUUGGUGUGAUCUCUCUCUUUCCCUCUGUCUUUCUCUCUCAUCACUGACUCUGGAUGGAGGCAGUCGUGUGGAGAAAUCUAUGCGGUGAGAAACUGAAGAGGGCCCCUGCCUCUGUCCACGAGUACUUGAGGCUUUCAGUCCAAUAGACCAUGAGGAACUGAGACCUGCCAACAACCACAGGAAUGAACCUAAAGCAGAUCCUCCCCAAGACGAAUCUUCAGAUGAGACUGCCGCCCUUAUCAACAUCUUGAUUGAACCUAAUAAGAGAUCUUAAGUCAGACGCACCUGGCUAAGCCACACCCUGAUUCCUGAUCCAUAAAAGCUGCCAAGAACCCCAUGUGGGGCUGUGACAGGCAGAAGGAUGGCUCCUUGAAGAUACUCAUGUCCUAAUUCCCAGAACAUGUGAAUAUGCUACUUCAACAGCAAAAGGGACGUUGCAGAUGUAAAUUACGGACCUCGAGACCGGGAGAUUAUUCUGGAUUGUCUGGUGGACCCACUGUAAUCACAAGGUUCAUAUAAGGGAAAUAGGGAAGCAGGAGAGUCGGAGAAGGAGAUGGGAUGAUGGAGGCAGAGGUUGGAGUGAUGCAAUUGCUAGCUUUGAAGGUAGAGGAAGAGACCUUAAGCCAAGGAAUGUGGGUGGCUUCUAGAAGCUAAAAAAAGGCAAACAAACAAACAAACAACAACCCUGCAACAGAUUCUUCCCUAGACCCUCCAGAAGGAACACUGCCUUGCUAACACCUUGAUUUUAGCCCAGUAAAAUUCAUUUUGAACUUCUA